UGAAAGAAGACAAAAAAAAGUAAUAAUUUUGUUCAGCAGUGUUAAAAUUGGAAAAGUUUGAAAAGGAAAAAAAUUCAAAAAAGAAGUAUUCUGAGAUGUAUUGCGUUGUCCCCUCUCGAUGAUCUUUGCAUGAGACCAAAGAAUAUGCAUGCGUAACUUUCUGCUACAAGCAAGAUGUUUGAUUGUCUUGACAAGUAUAGGUAAAUAUUCUAAGUUCACAUGUAUACAGACACAUAGGAAUAAUCAAAUUCCUCCAUUUUCUAUCCUCUGAACUACAAAUACAACGCAACAAGUAUUUUGAGAUGUAUUGCGUUGUCCCCUC
rnacentral:misc_RNA from 1 species